UACGGGAGGCAGCAGUGAGGAAUAUUGGACAAUGGGAGCAAUCCUGAUCCAGCAAUGCCGAGUGUGGGAUGACGGGGCUUUGCCUUGUAAACCACUGUCGGACGGGACGAGAAGAGGUAAGAACCUCUGGGACGGUACCGUCAAAGGAAGGAUCGGCUAAAUACGUGCCAGCAGCCGCGGUAAUACGUAGGAUCCGAGCGUUGUCCGGAUUUACUGGGUAUAAAGGGUGCGUAGGGGGCUUUAAGUGUCAGAGGUGAAAUCCACGGGCUUAACCCGUGGGGUGCCUUUGAAACGGGAAGGCUUGAGUAUGAGAGAGGCGUGGAAAAUUCCUGGUGUAGCAGUGAAAUGUGUAGAUAUCAGGAGGAACACCGGUGGAAAGGGCGGUCCUGGCCGUCAUAACUGACGCUGAGGCACGAAAGCGUGGGGAUCAAACAGGAUUAGAUACCCUGGUAGUCCACGCCUUAAACGAUGUAUGCUUGGUGUUGGAACAGCAAUGUUUCAGUGCCGGAGGGAAUCUAU
rnacentral:rRNA from 1 species